rnacentral:rRNA from 1 species
UUGACCUCGGAUCAGGUAGGAAUACCCGCUGAACUUAAGCAUAUAU